rnacentral:rRNA from 1 species
AACGCUAGCUACAGGCUUAACACAUGCAAGUCGCGGGGCAUCAUGAGGUUUGCUUGCAGACCUUGAUGGCGACCGGCGCACGGGUGAGUAACGCGUAUCCAACCUUCCCCUUACUCGGGUAUAGCCCUCCGAAAGGAGGAUUAAUCCCCGAUGUUGCCGUCAGAAGGCAUCUAACAACGGCCAAAGGAGCAAUCCGGUAAGGGAUGGGGAUGCGUCCGAUUAGGAAGCAGGCGGGGUAACGGCCCACCUGUCCUGCGAUCGGUAGGGGUUCUGAGAGGAAGGUCCCCCACACUGGAACUGAGACACGGUCCAGACUCCUACGGGAGGCAGCAGUGAGGAAUAUUGGUCAAUGGGCGCGAGCCUGAACCAGCCAAGUAGCGUGCAGGAUGACGGCCCUACGGGUUGUAAACUGCUUUUAUGCGGGGAUAAACGGCGCCACGUGUGGUGUUUUGCAGGUACCGCAUGAAUAAGGACCGGCUAAUUCCGUGCCAGCAGCCGCGGUAAUACGGAAGGUCCGGGCGUUAUCCGGAUUUAUUGGGUUUAAAGGGAGCGUAGGCCGCAUUUUAAGCGUGCCGUGAAAUGCCGUGGCUCAACCAUGGCACUGCGGCGCGAACUGGAGUGCUUGAGUGCGCGGGACGUAUGCGGAAUUCGUGGUGUAGCGGUGAAAUGCUUAGAUAUCACGAAGAACUCCGAUUG